rnacentral:ncRNA from 1 species
AAGUGAGGACGACCUCACCUCUCUACUCCGACUGGGGACGGCCCC